rnacentral:rRNA from 1 species
UACGUAGGGGGCAAGCGUUGUCCGGAAUCAUUGGGCGUAAAGCGCACGCAGGUGGCUGAGUCAGUCGAUUGUGAAAGCCCUGGGCUUAACCUAGGAAUUGCAGUCGAUACUACUCGGCUAGAGUAUGGGAGAGGGCAGUGGAAUUCCCGGUGUAGCGGUGAAAUGCGUAGAUAUCGGGAGGAACAUCAGUGGCGAAGGCGGCUGCCUGGCCCAAUACUGACACUCAGGUGCGACAGCGUGGGGAGCAAACAGG